AGUAGAAAUGCUGGGACACGUGGGAACUCUGUUCAACCUUUAGAGGAACUGCCACACUGUUUUCCAAAGUGGUUGCACCGUGUACAUCCCCAUCAGCAUC
rnacentral:pre_miRNA from 1 species